rnacentral:rRNA from 1 species
GACGAACGCUGGCGGCGUGCUUAACACAUGCAAGUCGAACGGGUGUAGCAAUACACUAGUGGCGGACGGGUGAGUAACACGUGAGCAACCUGCCUUAGUCAGGGGGAUAACAUCCAGAAAUGGGUGCUAAUACCGCAUAAGACCACGUCUUGGCAUCAAGAAGGGGUCAAAGGAGAAAUCCGGAUUAAGAUGGGCUCGCGUCCCAUUAGGUAGUUGGUGAGGUAACGGCCCACCAAGCCCGCGAUGGGUAGCCGACCUGAGAGGGUGAUCGGCCACACUGGAACUGAGAAACGGUCCAGACUCCUACGGGAGGCAGCAGUGGGGAAUAUUGGUCAAUGGGGGAAACCCUGAACCAGCAACGCCGCGUGAGUGAGGAAGGUCUUCGGAUUGUAAAGCUCUAAACAGGGGGAAGAAAAAAAUGACGGUACCCCUAAAGCAAGCCACGGCAAACUACGUGCCAGCAGCCGCGGUAAUACGUAGGUGGCAAGCGUUGUCCGGAAUGACUGGGCGUAAAGGGUGCGUAGGCGGCUUUAUAAGUUAGAAGUGUAAUACCCGGGCUUAACUUGGGUGCUACUUCUAAAACUAUAGAGCUUGAGUGUGGGAGAGGUAAGUGGAAUUCCUAGUGUAGCGGUGGAAUGCGUAGAUAUUAGGAGGAACACCAGUGGCGAAGGCGGCUUACUGGACCAUAACUGACGCUGAGGCACGAAAGCGUGGGGAGCAAACAGGAUUAGAUACCCUGGUAGUCCACGCCAUAAACGAUGGAUACUAGGUGUAGGGGGUAUCGACUCCCCCGUGUGCCGUCGCAAACGCAAUAAGUAUCCCGCCUGGGGAGUA